ACUCAAAGGAAUUGACGGGGGCCCGCACAAGCGGUGGAGCAUGUGGUUUAAUUCGAUGCAACGCGAAGAACCUUACCUGGGUUUGACAUCCCUUGAUCGCUGCAGAAAUGCAGUUUCCCCUUCGGGGGCAAGGAGACAGGUGCUGCAUGGCUGUCGUCAGCUCGUAUCGUGAGAUGUCGGGUUAAGUCCCUUAACGAGCGCAACCCUUAUCCUCAGUUGCCAUCAUUCAGUUGGGCACUCUGUGGAGACUGCCGGUGUUAAACCGGAGGAAGGUGGGGAUGACGUCAAGUCCUCAUGGCCUUUAUAUCCAGGGCUACACACGUGCUACAAUGGCCGGUACAAAGCGAAGCCAACUCGCGAGAGGGAGCUAAUCGCAGAAAGCCGGUCUCAGUUCGGAUUGAAGUCUGCAACUCGACUUCAUGAAGCUGGAAUCGCUAGUAAUCGCGGAUCAGAACGCCGCGGUGAAUACGUUCCCGGGCCUUGCACACACCGCCCGU
rnacentral:rRNA from 1 species